rnacentral:lncRNA from 1 species
UGUGAAUGACAUAGUGUUAGAAUGUUUUUCAAGAAAUGUACCUUGUUUUUAUGCAAGAUUUACUAAAAGCAUUAUUUUGCGAAAAGAUCCUGAUAUUGCCGAAUGGUUGCAUUAUCAGAUUUUAGCCUUUUUCUCACAACAGGGUAUGAAAGACGGGCUUUGACGUUUAAAAUGAUCAUUAAGCUUUUGUGAACUUGGGAAGGUUCACAGUGUUAUUUAAGCAUAAAACAGAAACAUAGAUAUGUGGCAAACAGGGUAUGUGGAACAUUAGCUCAGCUCUUCUUUUGGGGUUGUUCUUUUGAAUUACCAGUCUGUUUACAAAGUGCAAGAAGCCCAAAAUCUAAAUCAGGAAAGAAUAAGACCUACAAGAACUUUUAAUCUCGAUUUUUCCUGUCCUAGCCAAGCCACAGUAGACGGGUGAUUUUCUUGAUGGAUGACAUCAAAGUUGAAGUGAAGCAUGGUGAGGUCCCCCUCCCCCCACCUCCUCCUCUAGCCCUGGAUAGCAGGAGGGCUGCAGUGGCCUGUUGUGCUGCAAAAUGAGCAGGCUUUCCCCCUCCCUCCCUUCUUCACAAACAAUACAGCAGUGAUGGAGAAGGAACACUGAAU